UGCUCCUGUGAUGACAUUUAUUUGCUACUCUCGACAAGAUGGAUGACGAUGCUCCAACCACCAUGUUAACUAAUCUGAGGCA
rnacentral:snoRNA from 12 species